GUAUAGCUGACUUGCAUGGGAUGCUGAUGCUGUUGCAUGCUGCCUCCAUCCCUCACUCUCCCUCCGAUGUGGCGGGGGGGAGCAAAAAAAAAAAAACAAGGAGUGGUUGUGUGAUUCCCGCUUAGUGCACGAGACAGAGAAACGGCAUGAGGGUGGAGGAAGAGGAGGAGGAAGAGGUGGGUGCCCCCCCCCCCCAACACACACGCGCACUCCGGCAUGGAUCCAAUGUGGAACAAACGGAGCGGCUUCUCCGAAGCAGUCGGGAGCGGUGCUGUCUCCUUACAACAACACGAAAGAGGAUGAGGACGGUGAUGAAGAGCGGGAGGGCCUCUCGGCUCCACUCUCGACCACGGGUAUUCUUGGGUUGAUAAUACAGAUGUGGAUGUUAUUGCUUGAGAAUACGCGUAGUCGAGUGGAGGCUUUGUCUUCCCGAGGACAUUCGAAAUAAAUUUGAAAAACUCGUGCAAGGUUUAUGAAGCGUGUCCCUCUUAGCACCUGUAGAGGAAAUGAGUUUGCGCGCAUCUCCUGCGAGAGGCGCUGACGGCGACGACCUCCUAACACUAAGCUCAACUCCCCACAGGCAUUAUUAGUUCAGGGAGAUGAACGCUCCAGUCACACGUUCAUUACAAACCUUCGACUACUCAGUCACUUGUGCCCUCCAGGAGAAACACACAGAGAGACUAUAAUCGUAUUACUGGUGAGCAGCUCAAAUAGCCUGAAAUAAGAAGGAAUUUGCACAAAAACGACAGCGUAUUUAGCUACUUCAAAAAGGAGGAACAUUUUGUACAUUUUAAUUCCAUUUUAAAAGCAUGGCUCAAGGGGAUCUUUUGGAAAAUCCCAUGAAUCACAAUUAUUAAAAAAAAAAAAGAAGAGGAUCCUAAAUUGAUAUGAAAAUAUCUAAAAUAUAAGAAUAUAUAAAUAAACACUUUGGGAAAGGGUAAAUGGGCAAACACCACUUGGCUGGUUGUGUGGCAGUUAAAAUGUUACUUCACAUCGACUGAAUAGGUAAUAAAGGUUUUUAUGACGGUGACAGUUUGAUCCUGGAUUAUAUCAACCUCCAUUAUUUCCCGUGGGAUUUUUUUCCUUUUUUUUUUAAUGAAUCCAAAUAAAUCAGAAGUUAGAGAGAGCGAGAUGCUGAAAGAAAAGCUAUAUAAUAUUAUUGGUGAGCAGGUCCCAAUUGGAUGAAUUUAGAAGAAGUUUGUACCAACAUUGUAAUUAGUGGAAGAUUUAAUUUUUUGAGGUUACUUGUAACAUUAUGAAUUCUUAAAAACAAUCUCAAGCAUUCCCACAGAAUGGUUAAUAAAUGUUUUACGAUGGCAACAGUUAAAUCUUGGCUUAUUUCCAUUAUUUCCUGUGUUUAUAAAUCCCAAUAAAUAAGAGCUUGACCAUUCCCAAAGAGACUGUUGAAUUUUAUAGGCUCUACUGUAGAAAUAUUUGCUCACUCUCUUGCUGAAUUUGUAUUGUAAGAUGUGUUUGAGAUUCGAUGGGUUGGUUGCAGAUCUUAAUAGUGGACAAGCGGAAUCUACUGACAAAAUCUGUUCCUUGAGAUUUGAAUUGCAGGAUUUUGGGCUUAUUGUAUAUGUGGAUGGAGGCCACACAUUAGCAAAAUCCAAAGGGCUCCUCAUGCCAAUAGGGAAAUAAAGCAUCGAUUUUGCGUCGCUGUUACUAUUUUUAGCCGGAAUGAUGGAUGUUUAUGUCUUUUAUUGAUCAAGUGGAGCUGCGGGUCGCCGGGCAUGCUGAUUAAUCAGGAGGCCGCCACCCUAUUGGAAGAAGACAUUUGAGCCCCAUUAGCAUUGUUGCUAAGAGAUAUAAACGAGCGGGCGUUUUUCGCUGCACAUUCAGCAAUAUAUUAGCAUCUGUGCGUGUGAUGAAUGGCGCUCAUAUCACUUAAUGUUGCAUGAUGUUUAACCACUGCGUGAGCACUGCGCACAUUUCGUCGCAGCGGAAUGCAAUUAAGGAUUUUAAUGAGAAUUUCCACUCUGGCGUCGUGUAAACUUGUUGAUUGGGCAGAGCUGUGGGCGCACUUUUGUUUGGAUUUGUCUAAGUGUGUGCGUGUGUGUGUACUAAGCAACAAAAUGACUAUUGUGAGCACAGCUCCAGGUGCCUAGCAACCACAUCGCUGUUUCCUUGGCAACAGUUGCCUCGCAGUCACUGUGUGGGUGAUUGGCAGACUUGACAGUGUACACGGUAUGACCCUUGACCUCACGUGCUGAAUGAGAGAGGAUAAAGAGCAACGGGGCCACAGGGCGGGCGCACGCAUGCACACACACACACGGUGGUGGGGGGCUAAGUGAUAAUCAUUCUCCAUUGUAAUCGUCCUCCAGCAUGUUUCAUAAGGUGUCGUCAAUAGUGCUCCAGCUGGGCUCAGUCAUCAAACACAACACACACACGCACACAAAUAUACACUACUCCACAUCUCAUUUAUUGUCCCAGCCUACUUCUGUUACCGUCUGUGUACUGCGGCCAUGAAUGGAAAAUGUGAUGGUAGUACAAACUGUUUUGUAUUUUGAACUACCAGGUACAUUUUAUAACAUCCUUCAGGCUCUGUGACUGAAUUCUGUUUUCUCCAUUAAAUGAGCAGUUUGAACUGGAAGCAUAUACAUACACACACACACACAAUAUAUACAUACAUAGACGUUGUUUAUACAUAGAUUUAUUUGCAUCCCGUGGUCCUCAAUUUUAUAUACAAUAAAAAAAUAGCCAACACGCAACACUUAUUUGUAACAUUUAUUAUUGCUUCUGUUGACAAUCAUCCAGGUCACAGCAACAACAGAGUGAGCAGUUGUUCCACACGCUGUGUCCCAGUUGCAGGGGAAACAAACACAAACUUGUCCAUAUUUAGUGAUUACGUGUGUGUCAUUUAAGCAACAAAAAGAACAUGAUACAAUUCUGAAUCGUGAUGAUCGGAUGCUGUCACUACUCUGAGGAUGAUGAGAGCUGUGGCUCAAUUUUUAUUACUGGACAUGAUGCUUGACCAAGGGUUAGAGGAUGAAUAAUGUCACCCAGAAAGUAAAACUGAAUUUCCAAUCGGUUCCCUGAUUGUGCAGGUGUCCCUAAUAAAAUGGUCAGAGUGUGCAGAUUCACAUGACCGCACACAGCCACAUCUCUCAGCAUUUGAAACUUGCGAGCAUUUUUAAUAAAUGUGCAUAGUUUUAGAAAAGCCCCAAAAAAGUUAGGGGA